rnacentral:rRNA from 1 species
AGAAUCAACGCUGGCGGCGUGCCUAACACAUGCAAGUCGAACGAGAAAGUGGAGCAAUCCAUGAGUAAAGUGGCGACCGGGUGAGUAACACGUGACUAACCUACCUUCGAGUGGGGGAUAACAUCGGGAAACCGAUGCUAAUACCGCAUAACAUCGCAAGAUCAAAGCAGCAAUGCGCUGGAAGAGGGGGUCGCGGCUGAUUAGCUAGUUGGCGGGUAACGGCCACCAAGGCGAAGAUCGGUAGCCGGCCUGAGAGGGCGCACGGCCACACUGGAACUGAAACACGGUCCAGACUCCUACGGGAGGCAGCAGUGGGGAAUUUUGCGCAAUGGGGGAAACCCUGACGCAGCAACGCCGCGUGGAGGAUGAAGCCCCUUGGGGUGUAAACUCCUUUCGACCAAGACGAUAAUGACGGUACUGGUGGAAGAAGCACCGGCUAACUCUGUGCCAGCAGCCGC